rnacentral:lncRNA from 1 species
CCUUUGUCUGCAGGAUAGGGACGCAACCUCCAGCAGCCUCGCGUGGCCCCAGAGUUCCGGCAAGGGUCACGCAGGCAGAAAGGCUGUUGGAUUCCCCUGGAACUGCAUUUGGAAACAGAUGUGAUCUGCGUGUGGGAGAGAAAGCCAAGCCCUGGUGCUCUGGAACCAAUGCUCCUGCGGGCAAUGCUCUUGCUCCCUGAGCCAUCUCUAAAGACGAAUGUCCCUUCCACCCAGGAAUUUCUCUCUCAGACAUCAUCUGACCUGUGUGCAAAGCUGAGCAUGAGUGACUCCAUACCUCUCAGCUAGAAUAACGGAAAGCACUUAACUUCCCAUCCUUCAGAGUCCAACUAGCUAGAUCUAUGACAGACGCACAGAGUGGCCAAUGAGCAGAAGCACUGAAGAAAACAGACACAGUCUCCUGUUUCCAAGACAGCAAAGAGAACUGCAAAGGAGUAUGUGAAUCCAGGAGCACAUGCUGAGCUGCAUGCCUUUUAUGUUUGAUCUGACAUCUGAAACAACUGUGGUGGCAGAAACCACAGAUCUUCAGGAAAAAAUAAAUUCCUUAACAUUUCAU